rnacentral:lncRNA from 10 species
CAAAAAAAAAAGAAAAAGAAAAAAAGAAAAGAAGUAGAGACAAGCGAAUCUCCAAAGAACAGCUGCCCAGGGUCUCUCUGUUCAGUAGACUGGGGAAAGGGUUGAACUGGGUUUCCUCUCCCUGCAGCAGGAGAGGCUGCUCCUUACCCCCAACCACCACCAGGGCACAAGACCCCCUCCAGGUCUCCAGAUGUCAAAAGGCUGGCAUUUCCAGCAUCCCCUGAACACCCAGGCAGUCUCUUUGUCCCUGUCUACAGGGUGACACUUUCCCUGCCCCCAUAACUAGGGGAGCAAUGGGAGGCAGGGUUUCAACUGGGUCACAGCCUGUUGGGCACAGAGCUGUCCCCACUCGAGCUACCUCUCCACAGGCUCCUGUGGACCUGCUGUGCAGCCUGCCUGACAGCCCCAGACUGUACCAAAUGCCACCCACUCCAUGCCUGCAGCUCUGGCUCGUCCCAAACUCCCCUCAUUGGCCAUACAAAGCAGCACAUCUGAA